UUUGCAGUUGCUUGAGAGGGGAAAAAAACCCUCUGUAGCCACAGGCAGACAAGCUCAGUGCUCAGGAACAUUAUGGCUGGAGCCCGCGGGCCCAUAUGCUCGCCAUCCUGUGAGGUGGAAGGCCAGCUCUGAUCACAUCCAGCUGCUCAGGAUACAACUGAUCAGCACCUCACCACACCCGCGAUGUUUUCAAGCAAGAUACUUUUGGAAGACCACCUCAAUCAGAUCACCUCUUCAAAGACCUGGACCAUCAGUGAUGUCAGGCAAUAAUUCUAUAUUUUGGAAUAUCUUCUUACUUUUAUGCAUAGCAACCUUUCACAGCACACUAUCGCCUGACACAGAAGCACAAACCGCUAAUGGCAUGAUAUGAGUAAGUGCAUACAUAUCCAUAUUUUAUUACUGAAGCCAUUUCAGGAAUUUGCAGAUAAUUAACUCUGAAUACUUAUUCAUCUAUUUUCCCCUCAAAAAUCUUCCCAUUUGACUUAAAACCCUUAUUUGUGGUCCAAGCAGCAGCACAUUUAAUCAGACUGAACAGGGCCGUAGAGCAGCUUUGAAGAGGCCUUAAAAUACCUGAAGACUCAAAAACCAAGCCAUCGGAAAUAGAUUGCUCUCAUCCAGCCUCCCCUUAACACAACAAGCUACAGCACCCCUCUCCUAUGUCUUAGGAGAGACAGCAGAGAUCCUGACCCCUCCAGUGGCAGGGGAUACAGUACCCUCAAACCUGAACGUUUCUACAACACUGUGUCAGCCUAGACAAACACCGACUCAAGUCAACACACCGCUGAACCAUAAUAUUUUGAUUUGAUAAAACAAGCUCAACAACUGUUUAGACUUUGGCUCACCAGACUCACAAUGGAGGUUUCCUUUUCAACUUCCCUAUUUAUUCUCAUCUCUGCCAUCAUACAGUUAGAUGACCACAGCCAAAGCUGUUCCCUUUUCCUUGCCUCCAAAUCCCCUCCUCGCCCAUUCAGAUAGCCAACUCACCUGGAUUGUCUCCUGCUGCACACUUGCAUGGAGCCAACACAACAGGACUCUAGACUUCUUCAGGAAACCCUACACAUGGUUCUAAUGUAAAAUUGUUAUUACAGUUCUUUGCUUUCAAGUUGGUGUACAAGCACUUCCCACAAACCCAGUAUGGAAGUGAAAAGCCUCAUUUCAAUUGUUAAUGGGUUUACAGAAUUCAGUGGUCCUCCCAAAAACAUCCUUGUCUCCCUAUUACAAUAAAAUAACCCUGCCUCUGA